UACGAGUGGUGCAAGCGUUAUUCGGAAUCACUGGGCGUAAAGGGUGUGUAGGCGGCAAAUCAAGUCUAUUGUUAAAUUUCCCGGCUUAACCGGGAGUGUGCGAUGGAAACUGAUUUGAUAGAGGAAGGAAGAGAGAAGUGGAAUUCUCGGAGUAGCGGUAAAAUGCGUAGAUAUCGAGAGGAACACCGAUGGCGAAGGCAGCUUCUUGGUCCUUACCUGACGCUGAUACACGAAAGCGUGGGGAGCAAACAGG
rnacentral:rRNA from 1 species